ACGAACGCUGGCGGCAUGCCUAACACAUGCAAGUCGAACGAGACCUUCGGGUCUAGUGGCGCACGGGUGCGUAACGCGUGGGAACCUGCCCUUAGGUUCGGAAUAACUCCCCGAAAGGGGUGCUAAUACCGGAUAAUGUCUUCGGACCAAAGAUUUAUCGCCUUUGGAUGGGCCCGCGUUGGAUUAGCUAGUUGGUAGGGUAAAAGCCUACCAAGGCGACGAUCCAUAGCUGGUCUGAGAGGAUGAUCAGCCACACUGGGACUGAGACACGGCCCAGACUCCUACGGGAAGCAGCAGUGGGGAAUAUUGGACAAUGGGCGAAAGCCUGAUCCAGCAAUGCCGCGUGAGUGAUGAAGGCCUUAGGGUUGUAAAGCUCUUUUACCCGGGAUGAUAAUGACAGUACCGGGAGAAUAAGCGCCGGCUAACUCCGUG
rnacentral:rRNA from 1 species